AUUUCUUUUAACAUAUCAGGAAGUCAAAUUGGUAGUGAAGAAAGAAGCAAGAAGUUGAAAGUCAUCAUUACCUAUAAUCAAAAUUCAUAAACCCAUACCAUGCUUCUUUCUUCACUACCAAUACGACUUCCUGAUAUGUUAAAAGAAAC
rnacentral:pre_miRNA from 1 species